AGAACGAACGCUGGCGGCAUGCCUAACACAUGCAAGUCGAACGAGACCUUCGGGUCUAGUGGCGCACGGGUGCGUAACGCGUGGGAAUCUGCCCUUAGGUACGGAAUAACAGUGAGAAAUUACUGCUAAUACCGUAUGAUGUCUUCGGACCAAAGAUUUAUCGCCUAGGGAUGAGCCCGCGUUGGAUUAGCUAGUUGGUGGGGUAAAGGCCUACCAAGGCGACGAUCCAUAGCUGGUCUGAGAGGAUGAUCAGCCACACUGGGACUGAGACACGGCCCAGACUCCUACGGGAGGCAGCAGUGGGGAAUAUUGGACAAUGGGCGAAAGCCUGAUCCAGCAAUGCCGCGUGAGUGAAGAAGGCCUUAGGGUUGUAAGCUCUUUUACCCGGGAGAUAAUGACUGUACCGGGAGAAUAAGCCCGGCUAACUCCGCGCCAGCAGCCGC
rnacentral:rRNA from 1 species